UGGGAAGCCGCUGCGCUCCCGCCGCGCGAGCUCUGUAAUCUUUGAGGUUUCUGCAGAUUUGUGGAGGAGCUUACUUGACAGCAAUCUCUUGGCGCGCUCAGAUCACUCUGCAAGCCUCUGGCACCCGCAGGGCCGCCGCUAAAGCAAGGGACUCUGGUCCCCCGGGCCUGCCCCGCGCAGCUCCCCCUGGCAGCUCCUCCAGAGAAGCAACGCAGCACCGAAAAAUAAAAUCCUACGGCGGGGAUUUAGACCAGAGAAGAGCGAGGGUUUGGGGCCUGGCGCCAGCUUAAGCCUCAGGGUAGCCUAAGAAAUCCUCUGAGAACUGGAGGAGCUCUGUCUAAUCGAAGACUGUGACUGGGGAACCUCGAUUCUUCGCAGGGUCCAGGACCUGCCCCUCCAUCAGCAGUUCCAGACUCUGAGCCUGGGAGCGUGCAUUACCAGGAACAUGGAGACACGGUGGCUACACAUGAAGAACAAUCCUAUAGGAUAAGCACUACUCUUGUUGCCAUUUCCCAGAUGAGGAAACUGAGGCACGGAGACGUGGAAGAACUUUCCCUCGG